GUGAAAUGGACUCUGUAUGCUUGCACCUUACCUCUCUUUUGCUUCACCUGAUUGAAUAAAGUACAGCCAAUGAUGUCUCUUUCCCGAAACUCAUCGUGUAAACCUUGGCUCUCAUAUCUGCAUACACUGUCAGCAUGUGGCAGUUUGGAUUAAUUGACAGGCUUUUCUAAACACCUGGUAACUUGAAGGACUGUUAUCAUCUUAGGUGUGAGGCCGUGUAGACUGGUAGAAUUUUACCACCACUUUGGAGGAACCUGUAAAGUAAUAAGACCCUGAAAUGGAGGCCUCACAUUCGUCAGAAAUGUUGAUAACAUUCUACCAGACUACAUGGUGUCACAUCCCAGAAGACUGAAAUCUUCAUGGUUAUUGCCAUGGGAACAUCAGGUCUCAGCUUAGAGAGUACACAUUGUAAUUGCACAUACAGGGAAUACACAGUCAUGAAUAGGUAACAGCUGGUUUUGAUUUGACAUGGGAGUUAAGUGUAAGAUAGCAACUCUUGAUUGAGAACUGAGAGUUGCGUGUUCUGCGUUUGUUGAUACUUCAGAAUUGCAUGGUGACAGUGAGGAGUCUAGGGCCGGUACUUGGAAUGAAGACUACAGCAUUCUGAGUUGUAACAGCCGGUAGUUCAGAGACAGCCUGGCGUUUUCAAGGUGACAUAUUCCUCCUAAACAUUGGGCCAUCUCCAAACUACACAUUGUUACAAUGCAGAACCCUGAACUCCUUAUCAAUGUUGCCAUGAAAACAUCAAAUCAAACAAGGUACUUAAACUAUUUGUGUAAGAAACGUAAGUUGUGGCCUGAUUGCAGAGGUAAUUGUAAGUGUAAAUUGGAUAGGAAUUACUGCGGCUUUGGGGUUGGUGGGAGUUGUUAAAGCUAAUUUUAAUUGGUACAAUUAGAAAUUUCUUGGCAGCUAAUUCCUCAAUACUCUGACAAGCCAUAGUGGACAGUUCAGGCAUCGUACUGAAGUAGAAUUCUGUAAUGUAAGUGUACGGAAGUAUGACUGCCAAACUUGGCUAAGGUAAAGACAGAUGGGUUGCAGCAUAGUGAAAGCAAUAUGAAUCAAUUUGUUGGAUUGUAACAUAAUCCAUGCAGUGGUACUUGGAAAUUCUGUUAGGGGUUAGAAUGUUUGACAAUAUUUUACAUUCACUGUAUCCAAAAAUUAUACGGACUGAAACAAAUAUAAACAUUCUGAUGUAUGUGAGGAUAUUUGGAUCCUUCUGGGUGGGAUAUUUGUAAUUUAUUUUAAUAAAUACUCUUCAGAGCUGA